CGAGGUUGAUUACAUUUGCCAAUCAUUCAAGUUUGAAACCAUAUCCUAGGAACAGAACAAAUAUCGAACAUACACCGCCGAAAUCGGAUCGGGAAUGCCGCCAGCCGCCGCCACUGCUGCCGCCGACCCAAACGAAUCACGAGUCCGCUCGGCUCGCUGAGGACAAAUGGCGAGAGGGAGAGAAGAAGCCGCAUCUGUUGCCGAUUGAAUCGGAUCGGGGGCGACGACUGAGGGAGCAGCUGCUGCCGUCCGGCUGCUCUCGCGCGAGGCAGUCCAAAUGCCGAGAGGGAGAGAACGGGAUGGAGGAAAACGGCAAGGGGGAGAACUUCUGGGCUGA
rnacentral:lncRNA from 1 species